AUACGUAGGUGGCAAGCGUUAUCCGGAAUUAUUGGGCGUAAAGGGAGCGCAGGCGGUUUAUUAAGUUUAUGGUGAAAGUUCGGGGCUCAACCCCGUGAUGCCAUAGAAACUGGUAGACUUGAGUGCAGGAGAGGUUAGUGGAAUUCCAUGUGUAGCGGUAAAAUGCGUAGAUAUAUGGAGGAACACCAGUGGCGAAGGCGGCUAACUGGCCUGUAACUGACGCUGAGGCUCGAAAGCGGGGGGAGCAAAUAGGAUUAGAUACCCUAGUAGUCCACGCCGUAAACGAUGGAUACUAAGUGUUGGAGAAAUUCAGUGCUGUAGUUAACGCAAUAAGUAUCCCGCCUGGGGAGUAUGCGCGCAAGCGUAAAACUUAAAGGAAUUGACGGGG
rnacentral:rRNA from 1 species